rnacentral:rRNA from 1 species
GUGGGGAAUAUUGGACAAUGGGCGAAAGCCUGAUCCAGCCAUGCCGCGUGUGUGAAGAAGGUCUUCGGAUUGUAAAGCACUUUAAGUUGGGAGGAAGGGCAGUAAGUUAAUACCUUGCUGUUUUGACGUUACCGACAGAAUAAGCACCGGCUAACUUCGUGCCAGCAGCCGCGGUAAUACGAAGGGUGCAAGCGUUAAUCGGAAUUACUGGGCGUAAAGCGCGCGUAGGUGGUUUUGUAAGUUGGAGGUGAAAUCCCCGGGCUCAACCUGGGAACUGCCUCCAAAACUACUGAGCUAGAGGACGGUAGAGGGUAGUGGAAUUUCCUGUGUAGCGGUGAAAUGCGUAGAUAUAGGAAGGAACACCAGUGGCGAAGGCGACUACCUGGACUGAUACUGACACUGAGGUGCGAAAGCGUGGGGAGCAAACAGGAUUAGAUACCCCGGUAGUCC